GGUUAAGCGACUAAGCGUACACGGUGGAUGCCUAGGCAGUCAGAGGCGAUGAAGGGCGUGCUAAUCUGCGAAAAGCGUCGGUAAGGUGAUAUGAACCGUUAUAACCGACGAUACCCGAAUGGGGAAACCCAGUGCAAUUCGUUGCACUAUUGCAUGGUGAAUACAUAGCCAUGCAAGGCGAACCGGGGGAACUGAAACAUCUAAGUACCCCGAGGAAAAGAAAUCAACCGAGAUUCCCCCAGUAGCGGCGAGCGAACGGGGAGGAGCCCAGAACCUGAAUCAGCGUAUGUGUUAGUGGAAGCGUCUGGAAAGUCGCACGGUACAGGGUGAUAGUCCCGUACACAAAAAUGCAUAUGUUGUGAGUUCGAUGAGUAGGGCGGGACACGUGACAUCCUGUCUGAAUAUGGGGGGACCAUCCUCCAAGGCUAAAUACUCCUGACUGACCGAUAGUGAACCAGUACCGUGAGGGAAAGGCGAAAAGAACCCCGGCGAGGGGAGUGAAAUAGAACCUGAAACCGUGUACGUACAAGCAGUGGGAGCACCUUCGUGGUGUGACUGCGUACCUUUUGUAUAAUGGGUCAGCGACUUAUAUUUUGUAGCAAGGUUAACCGAAUAGGGGAGCCGUAGGGAAACCGAGUCUUAACUGGGCGAAUAGUUGCAAGGUAUAGACCCGAAACCCGGUGAUCUAGCCAUGGGCAGGUUGAAGGUUGGGUAACACUAACUGGAGGACCGAACCGACUAAUGUUGAAAAAUUAGCGGAUGACUUGUGGCUGGGGGUGAAAGGCCAAUCAAACCGGGAGAUAGCUGGUUCUCCCCGAAAGCUAUUUAGGUAGCGCCUCGUGAACUCAUCUUCGGGGGUAGAGCACUGUUUCGGCUAGGGGGUCAUCCCGACUUACCAAACCGAUGCAAACUCCGAAUACCGAAGAAUGUUAUCACGGGAGACACACGGCGGGUGCUAACGUCCGUCGUGAAGAGGGAAACAACCCAGACCGCCAGCUAAGGUCCCAAAGUCAUGGUUAAGUGGGAAACGAUGUGGGAAGGCAUAGACAGCCAGGAUGUUGGCUUAGAAGCAGCCAUCAUUUAAAGAAAGCGUAAUAGCUCACUGGUCGAGUCGGCCUGCGCGGAAGAUGUAACGGGGCUAAACCAUGCACCGAAGCUGCGGCAGCGACACUUAGGUGUUGUUGGGUAGGGGAGCGUUCUGUAAGCCGUUGAAGGUGACCUGUGAGGGUUGCUGGAGGUAUCAGAAGUGCGAAUGCUGACAUAAGUAACGAUAAUGCGGGUGAAAAACCCGCACGCCGGAAGACCAAGGGUUCCUGUCCAACGUUAAUCGGGGCAGGGUGAGUCGACCCCUAAGGCGAGGCUGAAAAGCGUAGUCGAUGGGAAACAGGUUAAUAUUCCUGUACUUGGUGUUACUGCGAAGGGGGGACGGAGAAGGCUAGGCUAGCCGGGCGACGGUUGUCCCGGUUUAAGCAUGUAGGCGGAGCGACUUGGUAAAUCCGGUUGCUUAUCAACGCUGAGGUGUGAUGACGAGCCACUACGGUGGUGAAGUAGUUGAUGCCAAGCUUCCAGGAAAAGCCUCUAAGCAUCAGGUAACAUUAAAUCGUACCCCAAACCGACACAGGUGGUCAGGUAGAGAAUACUCAGGCGCUUGAGAGAACUCGGGUGAAGGAACUAGGCAAAAUGGUGCCGUAACUUCGGGAGAAGGCACGCUGGCAUUAGGUAAAGAGACUUGCUCUCGGCGCCGAAGCCAGUCGCAGAUACCAGCUGGCUGCAACUGUUUAAUAAAAACACAGCACUGUGCAAACACGAAAGUGGACGUAUACGGUGUGACGCCUGCCCGGUGCUGGAAGGUUAAUUGAUGGGGUCAGCCGCAAGGCGAAGCUCUUGAUCGAAGCCCCAGUAAACGGCGGCCGUAACUAUAACGGUCCUAAGGUAGCGAAAUUCCUUGUCGGGUAAGUUCCGACCUGCACGAAUGGCGUAAUGAUGGCCAGGCUGUCUCCACCCGAGACUCAGUGAAAUUGAACUCGCUGUGAAGAUGCAGUGUACCCGCGGCAAGACGGAAAGACCCCGUGAACCUUUACUAUAGCUUGACACUGAACAUUGAGCCUUGAUGUGUAGGAUAGGUGGGAGGCAUUGAAGUGUGGACGCCAGUCUGCAUGGAGCCAACCUUGAAAUACCACCCUUUAAUGUUUGAUGUUCUAACUCGGCCCCGUGAUCCGGGGUGAGGACAGUGUCUGGUGGGUAGUUUGACUGGGGCGGUCUCCUCCCAAAGAGUAACGGAGGAGCACGAAGGUUAGCUAAUCACGGUCGGACAUCGUGAGGUUAGUGCAAAGGCAUAAGCUAGCUUGACUGCGAGAGUGACGGCUCGAGCAGGUACGAAAGUAGGUCUUAGUGAUCCGGUGGUUCUGAAUGGAAGGGCCAUCGCUCAACGGAUAAAAGGUACUCCGGGGAUAACAGGCUGAUACCGCCCAAGAGUUCAUAUCGACGGCGGUGUUUGGCACCUCGAUGUCGGCUCAUCACAUCCUGGGGCUGAAGUAGGUCCCAAGGGUAUGGCUGUUCGCCAUUUAAAGUGGUACGCGAGCUGGGUUUAGAACGUCGUGAGACAGUUCGGUCCCUAUCUGCCGUGGGCGUUGGAAGAUUGAGAGGGGCUGCUCCUAGUACGAGAGGACCGGAGUGGACGAAUCACUGGUGUUCGGGUUGUCAUGCCAAUGGCAUUGCCCGGUAGCUAAAUUCGGAAGAGAUAACCGCUGAAAGCAUCUAAGCGGGAAACUUGCCUCGAGAUGA
rnacentral:rRNA from 1 species